rnacentral:rRNA from 1 species
CCAAUAGCGUAUAUUAAAGUUGUUGCAGUUAAAAAGCUCGUAGUUGAAUUUCGGGGUUCUUCCGUUGGUCAGGCUAACCAGUCUGUACUAGCGUGUAGAAUUCCUACCUUCUGGGGAACCAUCAUGUUAUUAAUUUAGCGUGGUGGGAAACCAGGACCUUUACCUUGAAAAAAUUAGAGUGUUCAAAGCAGGCUUACGUCUGAAUACAUUAGCAUGGAAUAAUAAAAUAGGACGGUGGUCCUGUUUUGUUGGUUUCUGAAUCACCGUAAUGAUUAAUAGGGAUAGUUGGGGGCAUUAGUAUUCAAUUGUCAGAGGUGAAAUUCUUGGAUUUAUUGAAGACUAACUUCUGCGAAAGCAUUUGCCAAGGAUGUUUUCAUUAAUCAAGAACGAAAGUUAGGGGAUCGAAGACGAUCAGAUACCGUCGUAGUCUUAACCAUAAACUAUGCCGACUAGGGAUCGGACGAUGUUAAAUUUUAUUGACUCGUUCGGCGCCUUACG